rfam:Brachypodium distachyon strain Bd21 chromosome 3, whole genome shotgun sequence.
UAUAUACUCCCUCCGUCCCAUAUUAAGUGACUCAAAUUUGUCCAAAUAUGGAUGUAUCUUUGUCUAAAAAGCGUCUAGAUACAUGUAAUAGAAUGUCACUUAAUAUGGGACGGAGGGAGUAUAUA